AUUGAACGCUGGCGGCAGGCCUAACACAUGCAAGUCGAACGGUAACAGGAAGCAGCUUGCUGCUUCGCUGACGAGUGGCGGACGGGUGAGUAAUGUCUGGGAAACUGCCUGAUGGAGGGGGAUAACUACUGGAAACGGUAGCUAAUACCGCAUAACGUCGCAAGACCAAAGAGGGGGACCUUCGGGCCUCUUGCCAUCGGAUGUGCCCAGAUGGGAUUAGCUAGUAGGUGGGGUAACGGCUCACCUAGGCGACGAUCCCUAGCUGGUCUGAGAGGAUGACCAGCCACACUGGAACUGAGACACGGUCCAGACUCCUACGGGAGGCAGCAGUGGGGAAUAUUGCACAAUGGGCGCAAGCCUGAUGCAGCCAUGCCGCGUGUAUGAAGAAGGCCUUCGGGUUGUAAAGUACUUUCAGCGGGGAGGAAGGGAGUAAAGUUAAUACCUUUGCUCAUUGACGUUACCCGCAGAAGAAGCACCGGCUAACUCCGUGCCAGCAGCCGCGGUAAUACGGAGGGUGCAAGCGUUAAUCGGAAUUACUGGGCGUAAAGCGCACGCAGGCGGUUUGUUAAGUCAGAUGUGAAAUCCCCGGGCUCAACCUGGGAACUGCAUCUGAUACUGGCAAGCUUGAGUCUCGUAGAGGGGGGUAGAAUUCCAGGUGUAGCGGUGAAAUGCGUAGAGAUCUGGAGGAAUACCGGUGGCG
rnacentral:rRNA from 1 species